AGCAAUACCGCACUGAUACGGGAAUGGUCUGACGCCUCUCGAAGGCUAAUAUAGGAUCUCCAUACCCUACUCCGACUCAAUACGUCCACGGCGUACAGAACGGUAACAUAUUUCUCCAAAUAUCUGAGCUUGNNNNN
rnacentral:ribozyme from 1 species